rnacentral:rRNA from 1 species
AGAGUUUGAUCCUGGCUCAGAUUGAACGCUGGCGGUAUGCUUAACACAUGCAAGUCGAACGGCAGCGCGGAGAGCUUGCUCUCUGGCGGCGAGUGGCGGACGGGUGAGUAAUGCGUAGGAAUCUGCCUAGUAGUGGGGGACAACUCGGAGAAAUCCGAGCUAAUACCGCAUACGCCCUACGGGGGAAAGCGGGGGCUCUUCGGACCUCGCGCUAUUAGAUGAGCCUACGUUAGAUUAGCUAGUUGGUGGGGUAAAGGCCUACCAAGGCGACGAUCUAUAGCUGGUCUGAGAGGAUGAUCAGCCACACUGGGACUGAGACACGGCCCAGACUCCUACGGGAGGCAGCAGUGGGGAAUAUUGGACAAUGGGCGAAAGCCUGAUCCAGCAAUACCGCGUGUGUGAAGAAGGCCUGAGGGUUGUAAAGCACUUUCAAUUGGAAGGAAAAAGCAUCGGCCAAUACCCGGUGUCUUGACAUUACCUUUAGAAGAAGCACCGGCUAACUCCG